AAAGAAGCAUAUGACAUGACUGCUAGAGACAAGACAACACACCUCUCUCAGCCUGGUCAGGGCAUCAGCCAGCGAAGGAUCGGCGAGGUCUCGCUCUGUCAGGUCCGCCACCAGCUCGUCAAACUGGGCUUCAAACAGCUGCAGCAGGAGGAAGAGUGCGGGGCAACAGAAAAGCCUCAGAGGAUGGACCUUUGAGAGAUGGAGCCAGAAGAAAAGAGACCUCAUUCGUCAAGUUAUCAAACUGUCAUGUCCCUAAGGUGGUUUAGGGGAGAGAUGCCUUGCUGCCUCCUGAGCCAAAGUCAACUGCAGAAGAGAAGACACAAUAAGAAGUUAUGGAAACAGACAUAGAUAGCCCUUCGUCGAAGGUACAAAGCUUGACGUGGGAGGGGCGGCCCACAACCCUGACCACCAGGCUGCUCACUGGCAGCUGAGGACGAUGAAGUAUGGGCAGCAGAGGGGUCGGUGCCGGCUCCUUGGUGUGAAGG